UACGUAGGGUCCAAGCGUUGUUCGGAUUUACUGGGCGUAAAGGGCGCGUAGGCGGCGCGGUAAGUCACUUGUGAAAUCUCUGAGCUUAACUCAGAACGGGCAAGUGAUACUGCAGUGCUAGAGUGUGGAAGGGGCAAUCGGAAUUCUUGGUGUAGCGGUGAAAUGCGUAGAUAUCGAGAGGAACACCUGAGGUGAAGACGGGUUGCUGGGCCAACACUGACGCUGAGGCGCGAAAGCCAGGGGAGCAAACGGG
rnacentral:rRNA from 1 species